CGCGGGCAGUGGGGGCGCUCGGGGCGAGGUUCGGGACCUGGUGGCCGCGGCGAGGGCUCAGGCGACGUUAUUUCUACAUGACGGCAGAGUGUACCUUUAUCUGUCCGCAUUAACCUGUUGGACCGGCAGAGCACUCCCUUAAAAGGAACUGUUGCUUGGGGACUAGGCAGCUGAGGCAGACCUUUGGGGUCAUUUCUCCCUGUGUGCUGUCAGAGGAAACGCUGCGUGGCUCAUGCUAAUGGUGUCACUGCGAAUCCUGAUUCUGGAUUUCUGUUUGUGAGGCGAGUGAAAAUGCCCUCGUGCACAAAGGCUGCGGGUGUGAAAGGCAGACGUUCUAUGGAAAGUAAAGAGCUGUGGUCUGGAAGAGGCCACUUCCUUCAUGUCUUUCGUCGGUGAUUCGUGUGUGAGGCCCAGAGCUACCCCACCAGUCGUAAUGGCUCGUUGAGAUGUGCCUGGCUUGACGUCCGGGACUCCUUCGGAACACACAGGCUGACUAAACACCGGGGGACUUUGGUGCUGAGCAGCUGAGAUGGGAAGCCUCUGAGUCUAUACUACUGCAGUUUGUUUCUGUGUGUGCAGUGCAGUCAUUAUUGUACAUGUAAAGCUUCCACUGGUGUGGUUCAGUUUUUUCUAAUGUGAAUUUUGUUGAUUGAGUAAAAAAUUAUUAUUA